rnacentral:rRNA from 1 species
AUUGAACGCUGGCGGCAUGCUUUACACAUGCAAGUCGAACGGUAACAGGGAGCUUGCUCCGCUGACGAGUGGCGAACGGGUGAGUAAUAUAUCGGAACGUACCCAGAAGUGGGGGAUAACGUAGCGAAAGUUACGCUAAUACCGCAUACGAUCCACGGAUGAAAGUAGGGGACCUUCGGGCCUUAUGCUUUUGGAGCGGCCGAUAUCUGAUUAGCUAGUUGGUGAGGUAAAGGCUCACCAAGGCGACGAUCAGUAGCUGGUCUGAGAGGACGACCAGCCACACUGGAACUGAGACACGGUCCAGACUCCUACGGGAGGCAGCAGUGGGGAAUUUUGGACAAUGGGCGCAAGCCUGAUCCAGCAAUGCCGCGUGAGUGAAGAAGGCCUUCGGGUUGUAAAGCUCUUUUGUCAGGGAAGAAACGGUAGAGGCUAAUAUCCUUUGCUAAUGACGGUACCUGAAGAAUAAGCACCGGCUAACUACGUGCCAGCCGCCGCGGUAAGAC